UACGAAGGGGGCUAGCGUUGUUCGGAAUUACUGGGCGUAAAGGGCGCGCAGGCGGUCGCUCAAGUCAGGCGUGAAAGCCCCGGGCUCAACCUGGGAAUAGCGCUUGAGACUGAGCGACUUGAGUUCGGGAGAGGAGAGCGGAAUUCCCAGUGUAGAGGUGAAAUUCGUAGAUAUUGGGAAGAACACCAGUGGCGAAGGCGGCUCACUGGCCCGGUACUGACGCUGAGGUGCGAAAGCGUGGGGAGCAAACAGG
rnacentral:rRNA from 1 species